rnacentral:lncRNA from 1 species
GUUCAUAUCCACUGGCCAAAACAUAGUUAUCUUGAUAAGCUAUACUAGGAAGAGGAUUGGAAAUACAUUCAGUCUUCUGGAAGGCCACGUGUCCAGAGCAGCUUUACAGACGGUGCAAACACUGGGAACAACUAGCAUGUCCAGCACAGUAACCAGGAAGCCAUCUAGUUUAGCCAGUUCUCUCUCUGCAGAGUGAACCAGCUCAGCAAGGGUCCCUCAGAAAAGAUGCAUGAAUGGAGCCUUCACUGAAGCCCCAAUAGCUGGCCUCCUUUCCACACAAAGAUCUUCUCCAGGUCCCGCAGUUCUCAUACUUUGGCUCUCACCGAGUCACUCUAUCCCUCUGAAAACAUCUAUACUGAAUACUUAAAUUCACAUUACUGAAGGACAGCAUUGCCUGAAAAAGCUCCUUUGGACUUUAUGAAUGUAAAUAACUUACAUAAAGGGACAUACUGAAAAUUUAAUGUGAUUUCUCAUGUAUUAAUCACUUGAUAUUCUGAGUGUUCUGUAAAAAUUACCUCAUUUAACCCUUAAGCUGAUUAUAAUGUAUGGAUGGUUUUCACCCCUUUUCUAGAUGGAAAAGUUUUGAAGUAAAAAGAGGACAAGGAACUUAACGUGGCUCAUAUACACCAAAAAGCUGAGAAGAGAGAUCAUACCACACAGCCCGACUGUGCGCUCUUCUGCUCAGGAGUGGCCCAUUUGUCCCUGUAUUGCCAUCAAUUUUCCUCCCACCCAAGAGGUCAGAUGAGUAAAAAAGGGAAAAGAAAAAAAUGUGGGAAGAAAGAAGCGAGAAAAGGAGGCAAAAUAAUUAAUAGAUGGGAUUCCUUUUUGUAUUAUUCUUGAAAUGACUGGAAUAAAAGAUGAUUCUCCAGAUUAUAUUCCAAAUACGCAGAAAAAUGCUAGCAAAUGUCAGAACUUGACAUCUUCAAACAAGAAUAGUUGUACACGUACCGACUACCUCCCUCCUGAGUCCCACUCUCAUGUCUAUGCUCCAGGGCACAACGUGGGCUCAUGCAUCAGGCCAAC